ACGAACGCUGGCGGCGUGCUUAACACAUGCAAGUCGAACGGAAAGGCCCUGCUUUUGUGGGGUGCUCGAGUGGCGAACGGGUGAGUAACACGUGAGUAACCUGCCCUUGACUUUGGGAUAACUUCAGGAAACUGGGGCUAAUACCGGAUAGGAGCUCCUGCUGCAUGGUGGGGGUUGGAAAGUUUCGGCGGUUGGGGAUGGACUCGCGGCUUGUCAGCUUGUUGGUGGGGUAGUGGCUUACCAAGGCUUUGACGGGUAGCCGGCCUGAGAGGGUGACCGGCCACAUUGGGACUGAGAUACGGCCCAGACUCCUACGGGAGGCAGCAGUGGGGAAUAUUGCACAAUGGGCGGAAGCCUGAUGCAGCAACGCCGCGUGCGGGAUGACGGCCUUCGGGUUGUAAACCGCUUUCGCCUGUGACGAAGCGUGAGUGACGGUAAUGGGUAAAGAAGCACCGGCUAACUACGUG
rnacentral:rRNA from 1 species